rnacentral:rRNA from 1 species
AGUGAACGCUGGCGGUAGGCCUAACACAUGCAAGUCGAACGGCAGCACAGUAAGAGCUUGCUCUUACGGGUGGCGAGUGGCGGACGGGUGAGGAAUACAUCGGAAUCUACUUUUUCGUGGGGGAUAACGUAGGGAAACUUACGCUAAUACCGCAUACGACCUACGGGUGAAAGCAGAGGAUCUUCGGACCUUGCGCGAUUGAAUGAGCCGGUGUCGGAUUAGCUAGUUGGCGGGGUAAAGGCCCACCAAGGCGACGAUCCGUAGCUGGUCUGAGAGGAUGAUCAGCCACACUGAGACUGAGACACGGUCCAGACUCCGACGGGAGGCAGCAGUGGGGAAUAUUGGACAAAGGGCGCAAGCCUGAUCCAGCCAUACCGCGUGGGUGAAGAAGGCCUUCGGGUUGUAAAGCCCUUUUGUUGGGAAAGAAAAGCAGCAGGUGAAUACCCCGCCGUUCUGACGGUACCCAAAGAAGAAGCACCGGCUAACUUCGUG